GCAGUCGGUUGUUUCGUCGCCGUUUGUUGCAAACAAGCGGAGGAAAGUCCGGACAACACAGAGCAUUGCGCUUCCUAACGGGAAGAUAUCUGCAAAGAUAUGGUAACAAAGAAGAAAAUAACCGCCUUUUGUGAUUUUUUUUCGCAAAAGGUAAGGGUGAGAAAGCGAGGUAAGAUCCGCUCCGCUCGGAGGUGACUUCGACCGGGUUUGUCCCGCAAGUUGCAAUCUCAUGUAUAUCAACAAUUAGGGUUGCUCGUCCGAUGUUGAGGGGUAGAGAGCUAAAGUUGUCGUGUGAACGCCAACGAAGAUAAAUGACGAAAAUUUGCUUGGCAAAUACAGAAUCCGGCUUACAAACCGACUGUUUUU
rnacentral:RNase_P_RNA from 1 species